rnacentral:lncRNA from 1 species
AAGGACCAGAUAUGAAUGUGGAGUCAUUCAGGAAUAUUCUAACCAAUUUACUGAAUUUAUAUUUUCCUUCAGAUGAAUUUUCAAAAGUUCUAAAUGAUGGAAACGUGUGUCCAAAGAAGCCUAAAAGAGAACUUUCAAUAAGAAUAAAGAAAAAAUCUGGUGAUACAAAAGCAUAUGUCAGAGUUUAAUUGGAAGAAUAUUUUUCUUUCUUAAUUAUAUAUAACAUAAUGGCAUAGAAUAUACUGAUAACAUUUUACGUUCAAUGAAAUCCAGUAGUUGCCUAAACAAAUAGACCUGCUUUUAUUUUUACUGAUCCACCAUCAACAGUUUACUUAGCAGCAGAAUGAAUUGUUUUCCCAGUCUUCAAUCUACUGCUAGAACUUUAUAUGAUGAAAUUGAAGACUCCACUCUUGCUAGCUGCCUGAAAAACAUCAUCCUAACCUGAUCAGGUAUUUUAGGGUGAGCUAGAUGUGCUGAAAAGCCCCCAUUUAAUACCCACUCUCGGUUCCAAAGUGCAGACACACACACAAACGUGCACAUGCACAUACACCCAGCCUACACUUCUAACAGUGGAUCAUGAGGCUGUGUAUACACCACCACUUCCAGACAACAUGCUGAGCCUGGCUCCUUUGUAAAUAUAUUUAGGAAGUACUCACUGAAUAAAACACCAAACAAUGUCUCCAAGAAUGAAAGGAAUACGAUGUACUUUGUGCUUUCUGUAUUCAAAGUGUUCAAGAUGGCAAAUCAAAUUUUCAGCCUUCGUGUGGUCACGUCUAGGAAGGAUCAAAAGUAUCAAAUGGAUGGAUGAUUCGAUGACCACUGACCCACACUGAUUUUUUUAGCAUGAAUGCCUUCAUUUUACAAACUUAAAAUAAUGGAACUUCAAAUAAGGCCAUGAAUGGAUCGCCUUUGAAGCACCCCACAUCCAGAUAAGAGCUUAUACUGAAAACAAGAAAAUGUAGGGUAUCUGAUCUUCUCAGGGAAUGUCUGACAGGCACUACGGAAGGGACCUGAAUGGAAACCACUUAAGCUGUUUGCAAAAGGGCUAACCUGUGUGGCACGCCUGGCGUUAUAACCUCUUCCUAGUUGGUUAACACACACACAUGUGCACGCACGCGCAUGCACACACCCCACAGAGGCAACAAAACAGCAGCAGCAACAAAAACUGUGAGGGAUUCACUCUAACAAUCCUACAUGGUGAGCCUUCAAAACUGUUCACCUGCAACUGCAAAGCCACACAAGCCUGCUGCAGAAGAGUUGCUUCUCCUUCGAGGGGCAGACACAGAUGAGAGAGCUUCACAUUCAACUAGGAGAGUCCAAGACUUCAAAAUGCAAAGGGAUGCUUCCUUCCACAUACCAUCCCACUGCCAGGGCAAUUAGAAUAAACAGGUAAUCAAAGACCUUUCAUAACUAAAAAGAGGAGAAACAGGCUGAAGCAAAAACAUGACCCCAGAAAGCCUCUCAAGCCCUAAAUAUACCAGUGCUUAGAGCCAGAGGAAGUCUGAUUUGAGAAGUGGUUCCAGGUAAGUUGUUUAUUCAACUGCCAAAGAAACUAGAAUGAAGAAACAUUUAAUAACUUGGAAUUUUAUAAUUUACUUUUAACUAAAUAUUUUUUCAGACUUUUGUUUUACGUCUUUACCUGGAGUAAUUAUACAAUACUAGUACUUAAAUGUAAGUUACUAAAUAUUUCUCUUCUCAGAAAACAAAUAUGAUGUUGGUCAUGUGUCCACAGAUGGUUGGUAAAUGUGUCCACAGUCAAUAACAAAUGUGGCCUUGGCCUGAGCCUGCUCCCCUCUUUCCUCCAUCCAUGAAAACACUCCCCCCUCAAGGCUGGACUGUCAGGGGUUGUGUGAGCUCCUCCAGGCCAGGAUGAAUCCCUCCCCCAACCUGGCAUUUCUGCACUCCCGAUGUGCAGAGGGCCCUCUGGUUCCUAUGAGCAGUGAGCAGGAACCAUCUUACAGUCCUCGAAGUCGUGGUGAUCCCCGCAACGCUUCCCUCGGAUCCUGCAGAGCCACCUGGGGGCUCCAGAAACUGCACAGCCUCUAUAAAGCAAUAAGCAAACUUCAGGGACAGACUCACAAACCCCAACCCUCAAGUACCAGUGAAUUAGACAGCUGUCCCCAACCCCCACUUUCGCACAGCAAAGCAGGAUCUGAGCCGUGUCUGCGACCUACACCACAGCUUACAGCAACGCUGGAUCCUUAACCCACUGAGCGAGGCCAGGGAUCGAACCCACAACCUCAUGGUUCCUAGUCAGAUUUGCUUCUGCUGAACCACAAUGGGAACUCCUUCUUCUUCUUCUUUUAUUGAAUUUUAUUUUUUCCAUUAUAGUUGGUUUACAGUAUUCUGUCAAUUUUCUAUUGUAUAGCAAAGUGACCCAGUCACACACACUAUAUAUACUUUCUUUUUCUCACAUUAUCCUCCAUCAUGUUCCAUCACAAGUGACUAGUUCCCUGUGCUAUACAGCAGGAUCUCAUUGAUCCUCACUCCAAAUGCAAGAGUUUGCAUCUAUUAACCCCACACUCCCAGUCCAUCCCACUCCCUCCCCCUCUUCUAAAUUGGAAAAACAGCUCCAGCCUUACACUAUGAGCUCCUUACUGGAAAGAGUUUAUCAAAUCACUUUCUCCUCUGUCCUGUGCCUUGCGCCCCCACCAUCCCUUCCUGCUCCAAGCCUACCCACUCUCAGGCCCCCUAGCUCUGCUAUUAGGAAUCGAAGUGAGGUAGAAGCAGCAGAUUUAUUUCACCAUUUACAGCAGUGGCUUAAAAACCUAUGAUUUGGGGUCAGAUCACUUGAAUUUGGAUCCCAAGUACACAACUUUUUAACACUACAAACUGAACACAACAUUUAAAUUUCUAAGCUUUGAUUUCCUCAGGUGCGAACACACAUGAGAAAAUCUACUUCCUAGGGUUAAGCUGACUCACCCAGCCAGCACCUGGUAAGUAGUGAGCUCUCAAAAUAUGUUGAUACCAACAUGGCCUUGGGCUGGGCCUAUACCAGACACCCCCUCCUGCCCCCGCUCUCAAUGACCCCAUGACUCCAGGUCUCCUCAAGCACCCAAAUGGAUGCAUACUGUGGAAGAAAGAAGGAAUAGAGAAGAUCCCCAGGAAGUGGCAGAAGCUCAGGCUGUGUCUCCACCCACUAAACCCUUUGAUGCCAUUUAAUUAUUGGGGGAAGGGGUAUGGAUGCAGCUUGAUUCAUACAACGGAAAGUCGAUUUAAACCCAAAUUGUUAAAGUGGUUUAUUUUUAUAGAUACGGUCUCGUGCAUGUGGAAAGAGCCCUCAGCACUGGUCCAGGGCUUUGGGGGGCUCUGAAGUCUGAAGGUCAAGACAGCCAGGUGUGGGCCUUAUUUAUAACAGUCCAACAGUUUCCAAGGCAGUGAAACAACAAGACCGGGUAUGAGUCACACAGACUCACAGGAUCAGAGAAGUCACGGAGGAUCAAAGAACGGAUGAGCCUUCCAGCUCACUGCCCCUCUAAAACCAAAGACGCAUUUCACAGGGCUCACUAUAAUCUGUUCCAACUAAUUUUCAGGGAUUGAGUCUAGAGGAAGAGUCAACAGGAGAUUUUGUUGCUAUAGCCACUUGGAUCCCCAGCAAAGUGGGCUUCAGGGGAACAAUAAAAAGCCAAUUUCUCACAAUACCCUUCCUCAAACGAAAUGAAUGGAAGUUGAAACCAUACUUCCCUCACUUAUGGUGAGGGAUUAAAGACAUAAUUGAACAACCUGCAAAGGGAUCAUAAAUAAAUACAGACAUAAUUGAGCAACUUGCAGUGCACCGCAAAUAACUUACUAAUUUAUUCGAGGGCCUUUAUGUAAGUGUUUUGUAAUGAACACAUCUAUUUUGUUUUUCCUGUUGAAUUCUUUGUCCCAUUACAUACAACAUCUGCCCACCAGCCACAGGUGAAGGGUCACAGGAACAUCAUCCUUGCUAGACAUGACAUUCAAGAUGCAGCCCACAGAGUAUCUCACUUGGCAAAGCAACGUGGGUGAGUACUGCCCAAUCAUCCUGGCCUCCUGAGUGGACAUGCAGUUGAUUAAAGGAGAUUCGGCUGGAGGAGUGGGGAACCAGGGGACUCUCUAAGUCUGCUGUGGGAGCCUUGCUGCCACCCACACUACUCUGUCGAUUCUUGUCUGAGGUUCUUGUAAACUAGGGCAACUGGCAAAGCCAUACAUAUAUACCAGAAUUUGACAGAACAGAGUGUGCUGGGGAGAUGGGAUCAAUUUCCCCAUGACCCAUCCUAGAGUAAUGCACCAAAAGCCAGACAGAGCUAGACUUUAGGUGGCAUGAUUGGGAAGCACCGGCUCCCUUACCUGGUGUGAUCAGAGACGGGACACAAGAGUGACAUGACACAUCAGUACCUUAGCCCCAGCCCUGUAAGCAUUCAUGCCUGGGGAGAGAGUGGUCUUUCCUGGCAUGAUGAGGGCUGUUGGCUGAGUCUUCCAGCUCUAGAAUGCCACAAGCUAGCUGUAGAAUCCUCUAAGUGUUCAUUGUUGGGGAGGAACCAGACCCUCUCUUGGCACCACCAGACACUGACCAGGACUGGCUGCCACAGAGAGGCCACUUCUGUUCUGGGCAUGCCAGCCUGCUCGCCUUUAAAAAGUGAACUCUUCGCAGGUGUAAACUAUAGUCAUAAAUCUGCUGCCCAUACUGCCACCCUGUCUCUGGCUAAAUAAAGAAUUUGGAGUUUCCUGUCCGAGCACAGAGGACCGAUUUCCAAAGUACUGUGUGGGUUUUUUUGCCACUCGCCCCUCCCACCCAAAGCCAAUCUCUGCCCUUUCCUGCCCGACUCUAUGCCCUCUGCAGACUGCAUCACCCAGGUUCCCUUGCCUUUUGCCUUCCGGUUGGGUAUGGCUUAGGGGAAGCAACUACAGGGGAUCAGAGGAGGAGAGAGGGGCCGUGACAUUUCUUCCCUACUCCUGCCUGCUUUGGCCGGCAUUUAUGGCAGGGGUGUGUCCUCCAGGCUCACAGCUCCUGGUGGCCCUGUCUCCAUGGCUCAGCUCUUGCUGGGCUUUCAGGGGCAGCAACAGCCACCUGCUGUUGCAUGUCCCUGGGGGUCUCUUGUCCCUCCACCCUGCCCACACCUCUGAGAUUAGUCCCUUCACUAACAUCUCUUCAUUUAAAUCACCCGAGUCAGAAUCUAUUUCCUGACAGGAUCUGAUUGAAACAGGUAUCUUUCAGCGGUAACAUCCUGUGAUUCUAACACUUGUAGCCCAAGCAGACACUUUGUCGAAACAACAUCCGGAAAGACAUACAUUGUGGGCACUGGAAUUAUGACUUCCAACGCAGGUGGGUUUUGCUCCACCCUACGAGUUAGUAACACUAUCUGGGCUAUUUCUUUACCUCAAGAUUUUAGACUACAAAAGGAUCUAUCUAAUUAUAUUGUUUACUAAACAGCUACCUUUAAAAGCACAUAUAUAAAAACAUGUAUAAACACUAAGAUAGUAUUACUGGUGAGGGUUCAGGUAUAAACUUUGUGGUCACUAAGGAACUGGAAAAGGCAGAGUCACCCUGUGGAAGACUUGCCUGAACAGGCUCGUCUCUUACUUUCAUUGUCCACAUUCUGAUGAUCCUUCUGUGUAUGUUCCAUGUUGAUCUUGUUUUGUGUCCAGGACUCGAUUCAUGGUCCAUAAAGUGAAUUUCAGCAGGGACUAAUCCUUCAUUGCUAAAUUGCUAUGGAGUCUUGGCUUCACUCUGACACACUUGGCAAAAUGCUGGCUGCCUCUUUUAUUCCUUGUUUUCCCAUCAGAAGAAUAACCUUUAUUUAAUAAGUUUAAAACAUAGUUCAAGAUGCCAAUUGUGGCCAAUGGUUAUUAUUACUACUUUAAAACUUGAGAAUGCAGCAAUUUCCCCCAGAAAACUAUUUUUUAAAUAAAAUAUAGGUUUACCACUUAUUGGUUUUUGACUCAGAGAUUUUACAUCAAUUUUUCUGACCCUUUUCCCUAAGAGGAUUGGCAAUUUGGAUGCACACAACCUUUCUCAUCACCCAUCUCUUCUCACCCCGGAUCUCUUCUGACACUUUCACAAAACAGCCUUGUGAGAAUAAAAGCCGGAAGAAUGAACAAGGAAGAGUAUUUUAGAUGUCUGGGAUGGAAAGCUGACAGGUCUGCUAGGAGAGUUUUCCUUCUUCCCUGAACUAUGAAUUACUAAAAUCCUCCUCAUUGUAUAAAGCACCUUGAGCACUUUGAUUUGGCUCUCACAACAAGCAUCUUUGGCUUUGGUUUGGGUCGGUCUCUUUGCAUGCUGUCAGCUGGGGCUGCAACCUGCUGGCUUGGAUCCUAAGACCUCUGAGAGCAGGAGACUUUGUUCUUAUUACAGCAGGUGCCUGGCAGUUAGUAACACAAGGGAAGUGUCACUCAGAGAAGGACCUUCUUUACUAAUACCAUGCUACCGCACUGCCCGCCUUCCCAUGUUCUAGUACACAGUAGCUGGGAGUGCCUCCUGUGCAGGUUUAGGUGCCGUCUGUGAACCAGGAGCCCACGGUGUUCCCAGAUCCCUCACUCUUUGUGUUCUUCGCUUCUUCAGAGAGCUUUUUAAAUGAGGAGAGCACUCUCUAAUUGAACUUUUAAAUAUUUCUCUAGCCACCUCCCACACAACCUACACACAUACACUGGGCAGAAAUACAUUUGCUUUAGCACUUACAGUAUGACAGUUUUAAACUGGAAACUGUCCCUGGAAGCAUCAGUUCAGGAACUUCUAGCUUAUCAAUAACCCAACAAUAAGCCCAAAAAAAGUCUUUUGAUUUUUACUUUUAAUUACGAAUUAUGUUGUAUGUUGUUAGAGAAUAAUAGUCUAUGUUAUAUUAUUACUCCUUUGAAAUUGAUUCAGGCUUCCUUUAUGGUACGAAACAUGUCCUGCUUUGGAAAUAUUUCAUAUGUGCUCAAUAAAGCAUGUUUUGUUAUU